rnacentral:rRNA from 1 species
UACGUAGGUGGCAAGCGUUGUCCGGAAUUAUUGGGCGUAAAGCGCGCGCAGGCGGUCCUUUAAGUCUGAUGUGAAAGCCCACGGCUCAACCGUGGAGGGUCAUUGGAAACUGGGGGACUUGAGUGCAGGAGAGAAGAGUGGAAUUCCACGUGUAGCGGUGAAAUGCGUAGAGAUGUGGAGGAACACCAGUGGCGAAGGCGACUACCUGGCCUGUUCUUGACGCUGAGGCGCGAAAGCCAGGGGAGCAAACGGG